rnacentral:rRNA from 1 species
UACAGAGGUCCCGAGCGUUGUUCGGAUUCAUUGGGCGUAAAGGGCGCGUAGGCGGCAGAUCAAGUCAGGGGUGAAAUCCGGCAGCUCAACUGUCGAAGUGCCUUUGAUACUGAUUUGCUCGAGGGAUAUAGGGGUCUGUGGAACUUCUGGUGGAGCGGUGAAAUGCGUUGAUAUCAGAAGGAACGCCGGUGGCGAAAGCGACGGACUGGAUAUCUUCUGACGCUGAGGCGCGAAAGCUAGGGGAGCAAACGGG